rnacentral:rRNA from 1 species
AUACGGAGGGUGCAAGCGUUGUUCGGAAUUACUGGGCGUAAAGCGCGCGUAGGUGGUCUGUUAUGUCAGAUGUGAAAGUCCACGGCUCAACCGUGGAAGUGCAUUUGAAACUGGCAGACUUGAGUACUGGAGGGGGUAGUGGAAUUCCCGGUGUAGAGGUGAAAUUCGUAGAUAUCGGGAGGAAUACCGGUGGCGAAGGCGACUACCUGGCCAGAUACUGACACUGAGGUGCGAAAGCGUGGGGAGCGAACAGAAUUAGAUACCCUAGUAGUCC